GAUAUUAUUAUAUACCAGAAUUCCAAGGAGGAAGGACCUUAGGGAAAGCACAAUUGGCUUUCUCCUUUUCCAAGGAGAAAAUCCUCUCCCCAAAAGGCACUGGAUGAGCUUCUUCUUGUGUUUAUUGGCUAGAACUGAAUCACAUGCUCAUUGCUACACCAAUCAUUUGUAAAGACCCUGGUCACAAUACUAAGUGAAACAUGGAACGAAACACGUCUAUCAAGAAGUCAGCCAAAGUUAUUCAAAAUUGCCAGCAGGACUGUUUGAAAUGGCACAGCUGUCCUCAGAGAAGACAUACAUAUUCAUUUUCUACACGGUAUUGCUCUUUCUGAGUUUCUCCUGUGAAAGUUUCCCAUUUUCUGUGCCAUGCUUCUGUGCCAUUUGGGGUACGUGGAAAUCCAUUCUGCACGCUCUCAUGUAACAGACCACAAAUUUAGCGGGAAAAGUAAAAACGAUGA